CCUAUGGACAUAAGGAGUGACUCUACCAUUUUCUCUCAGGUACCUCUUGCUUAAUUGGAUUGGCUUCAGGAAAGGGAGAGAGCCCAAGCAGCCUUGGCAUGUCCCAGGCUGAGGCUGGAGGCUGUGGUCAGUCUGUCCAGCCUCCUGCCUCUGUUGUCUCACCUUUGUAUCCUCCUUUCCAUGUGUCAGCUCCUAAUGUGGGACACUGCUGUUGAGCUCUGGUUUUAUGCCUAGAAGUCAAGAAAAAAUUAAUCCAAUCAAGUUUCUACUGGCAGAUGGAUACUGCUGUAAAUCAAGCAGGACUUCUCCCUUCCAUAUUAUGUUGGAGCAUAUGCAAUUGCUAUUUAACCACUUUAAAAAUUACUGUUUUUUUAAAUUGUGGUACAGUUUUUAGUUGUACAGGUUAGUGGUAUUAAACACAUUCAUAAUGUGUGAUUAUCUCUACCAUUCAUGUCCAUACCUCUUUUUAAUUUUCCCAAAUGGAAAUUCUGUACCCAUUAGAUAUUGACUCACAUUUCUCCCUCACCAAUCCCCCACCCAGCAACUCCCAUUUUAUGUAUUUUUGAUUUUUGAUUUUUUGUGUGUGGUUUUAACUACUCUAUCUACUGUAAGAGGAAUGAUAUAUUUAGUUUUUUUGGGGGGGGGUUGUGCACGUGUGUGUGUGUGUGUGUGUGUGUGUGUGUGUGUGUGUACGUAGCUUAUUUCACUCAGCAUAAUGUCCUCAAGGUUGAUCCAGGUAGCACGUGUCAUAACUUCCUUUAUAAAGCUGAAUAGUUUUCCAUCGUAUGUAUACACCGCAUUUAGCUAUUUCAUUCCUUUGUUGAUAUACACACAGGUUGCUCCUAUGUUUUAGCUAUUGGGAAUAAUGCUACUGAACAUGAGUGUACAAAUGUCUCUUUGAGACUCUCCUUUCAGUUUUUUUUUUCAUAUACACUCAGAAGUGGAAUUGCUGCAUCAAAUGGUAAUUCCGUUUUUAAUUUUUUGAGGAGCCCCAUACUGUUUCCCAGCAGGUAUACUAUUUUACAUUCCCACCAGUGGUGCCCAGGGUUCCAAUUUCUCCAUAUCCUCACCAACAUCUGAUUUUUGUUUUUUCAGUAGUGACCACCCCUGGAUAUUAAGUGGUAUCCCAUUGCUUUGAUUUGCAUCUCUUUAAUGAUUAUUGGUGGUAAACAUCUUUACAUGUGCUUAUUGACCAUUUGUAGAUCUUCUUUGUAGAAAUGUCUAUUCAAGUCCCCUGCCUGUAGAUUGCAUUAUCUGUUUUUGUUGUUGUUGUUGUUGUUGUUGCUGAGUUUUAAGAUUUCUCUAUAUAUUCUGGUUAUUGAUGCCUUAUCAGAUGUAUGAUUCGCAAGUAGUUCUCCCUCCUGUGGAUUGCCUUUUAACUCCGUUGAAAGCGUCUUCUGAUGAAUAAAAUUUAAAAUUUC
rnacentral:lncRNA from 1 species